rnacentral:rRNA from 1 species
AGUGAACGCUGGCGGUAGGCCUAACACAUGCAAGUCGAACGGCAGCACAGUAAGAGCUUGCUCUUACGGGUGGCGAGUGGCGGACGGGUGAGGAAUACAUCGGAAUCUACUUUUUCGUGGGGGAUAACGUAGGGAAACUUACGCUAAUACCGCAUACGACCUACGGGUGAAAGCAGGGGAUCUUCGGACCUUGCGCGAUUGAAUGAGCCGAUGUCGGAUUAGCUAGUUGGCGGGGUAAAGGCCCACCAAGGCGACGAUCCGUAGCUGGUCUGAGAGGAUGAGCAGCCACACUGGAACUGAGAGACGGUCCAGACUCCUACGGGAGGCAGAAGUGGGGAAUAUUGGACAAUGGGCGCAAGCCUGAUCCAGACAUACAGCGUGGGUGAAGAAGGCCUUCGGGUUGUAAAGCCCUUUUGUUGGGAAAGAAAAGCAGAAGGUGAAUACCCCGCUGUUCUGACGGUACACAAAGAAUAAGCACAGGCUAACUUCGUG